rnacentral:rRNA from 1 species
GACGAACGCUGGCGGCGUGCUUAACACAUGCAAGUCGAACGGAAAGGCCCUGCUUUUGUGGGGUGCUCGAGUGGCGAACGGGUGAGUAACACGUGAGUAACCUGCCCUUGACUUUGGGAUAACUUCAGGAAACUGGGGCUACUACCGGAUAGGCGCUCCUGCUGCAUGGUGGGGUUUGGAAAGUUUCGGCGGUUGGGGAUGGACUCGCGGCUUAUCAGCUUGUUGGUGGGGUAGUGGCUUACGAAGGCUUUGACGGGUAGCCGGCCUGAGAGGGUGACCGGCCACAUUGGGACUGAGAUACGGCCCAGACUCCUACGGGAGGCAGCAGUGGGGAAUAUUGCACAAUGGGCGGAAGCCUGAUGCAGCAACGCCGCGUGCGGGAUGACGGCCUUCGGGUUGUAAACCGCUUUCGCCUGUGACGAAGCGUGAGUGACGGUAAUGGGUAAAGAAGCACCGGCUAACUACGUG